rnacentral:misc_RNA from 1 species
UUUCAAGUGGGGCUGCUUCCUUGACCAGCUUCUUUGCACGCUCCUUGCCCACUGAUAUAGGGUAUCCAUCAUCUAGGUGCAAUCCGCGAGCGAUUGCAUUGACCCUGAUCUUAUACUUUCCAACAUCCAGAGCUAAAGUUCGAGCUAACUGCUGUAAUCCUGCUAAGCAUGAUCCAUAUGCAGCUCCUCCUUGAUACAGUCCCCUCUCAGCACCAAUUAAGGUGGUUAAAAAAAUUACUGAACCUCCUGAUUUCUGGUCCCGCAUUCUUCGACAAACAGCCUUCAUCAGAAACCAUGAAGCCAUCAAAUUUAUCUUAACAAUCUUUCUGAAUUCCUCUUCAGAUAGUUGUAAAGCAUCUUGUACGGCACCUUCAUAAGUAUAAGCAUGGACGAAAGCAUCCAAAGUUCCCAAAAUACUAGAUGCCCUGUUCACAGCCUCAUCAAAAGCCGCCUCUCUCUCUCCUUCCAUGUCCAACCCAACAACCUCAAUUGGCAGGACACCCUUUAGUGACUGUGCUAUCACCUUGCUCAUGCUCUGAAGAACAUUCUCAUUUCCAAUCAAAACCAGUCUGCAACCCCUUUUGGCAAGAUGAAUAGCCAGGUUCUUGGAGAUCUCAUCCCCAUUAGAAGAAAGUAAGACGUUCUUCGUCG